rnacentral:lncRNA from 1 species
CGAAUUAGUCCUGCGUGAUCCCUUUUUCUGCGCCGUCCUGCGCGGGUUCCCCGCUGGCGGCUGGCCGCACCUUACCACCCCCGUCCGGCCGUCCUCCGCCCAGGUAGACAGGAAGAAGCGAGGAGGGUCGUAUCCGACUGCGGCACAUGGAGAGGUGGACUAGGGGGACGCAUCUCCCGGCGAGCACGGGAAUACUACUAUGAUUCAGACAGGGUGACGGGCCGCCGCCGGCGCCGCCUGAGUACAGAGCCUACAUCGCCCACGGUCGGCGGUCAGUUUCAUGCCCAUCGCCACCGGCGACCUCUCGGGAAACGGGCAGACGGCGAGAGUUUAGGACACCACUAAAACCUGGGCUUCUCCUUAUCCACAUCCGGGCGGUUGGCUCUGCUUCUUCUCCAGUAUGUCGCUGUCCAUUGAUUCCAUUAAUCCAUUCUCCCCUGUUCCGGCUUUUUAUCAUGAAUACGCAGAUUUAGAUUAGGUGAUGUGGUACUUUGAUCGUUUGAUGAUGAGUACUCUAAUUACUGUGAUUGUGCGAUCCUGAUACUGUAUUUUGUUUCCUGUAAGUUUAAUGUUUGAGACUUGGAGCUUUAUAGCUUAUUGUUGAUACUUGUUUGUGACCUGGAUUGCAAAUGUGUGUCUCGUAGCUUGCUGCUGCUGUUGGAGCACUGAACGCUUGGUCUUGGACAUCACAGCCACCCCACCAUUACCUUGGACGCUACUUCAAAUCCUGGCGGCACAAAAUUUUAGUGGAAACAUAAGGUAAAAAAUCUUGCAACCCGGAUGUGACGGUUUUAUUUGUUUAUUUUGUUAUCCCUUGAUUAGUGAACCUGAUACUUUUUCGGAUCAACUGAAAAUAAAUAUAAGAUUCUGUUAUCUAUUGGUUUGAUUCUAUUAUCACCAUAUUAGUUGAUGAGAAUCCUCUUAAACCACGUCUCCUUGUCAAGUGCUGGAACUUAUUUAUCACUCCCACUUCAGAACGGAACCUCGUUGCCAAGUGCCAACUGAUUCAUAGUAAAAUCCCCUCUGACACCCAAUAGAAUAGGUUGCUGUUGUUUUUUUGUUUCACCAAUGAGCUAUUUUAAAACAGGCAAAUAUCAAUGACAAAAUGAAUGCAAAAUAUGCCCUUAGACCGAUGUGGCAUGCAUGUAACAUAAUUAACUGCUCGACAAGAAUUGAGUCAAUUGAACAUCUAUAGACGACAUAGCGCCGUGGGGUCUACUAGGUCACCCAAUUACUGGUUCUUAAUUAUCUGUCCCGCUUGUGUUUCUGUCUAGCUUGUGCAGUUAUGCAUAUCUGUGCUCGAUCAUACAUGUUAUCUCUACCAUAAAGCACCAAGUUCACAUUAUAUUAUAAUUACCAUCCACAUAUGAUUUAGUUUUACUUCUUCUGAUUUGUAAUGAACUUCUACUUGAAUGCUUUACUAAAUCUUAUUUUUCAGGAAAUUUGCAAGCGGGGAUUAGAAGAAUUAUUUUGAACUGAAUGAAGAAUCUAUGCACCUUUUAGCGAACUUUUAUAUGCUUGCAUAGUUUUUGCUCUUCGACAAUGAACCUUGUAAAAUUUCAAAAAAUUCUUACUAAGUUAAUUAAGCUUCAUGUAUGACAGAUUUUCAUUGGGAAUAGAUACACUUUUUUCAAAGAAGUAUCAUGUCAGAUUUACCAUCUUGUAAAAUCAACUGUGAUGGGGCGUUCUCUGCACCUGAGGGCACUGGUGGUGGUGGCUGGGGCUUCGUCAUACACGACUUGCCGGGAGAUGUGAGAGGCUCUGGAGCGGGGCGCCUUCGACAUGUAGCAACACACCCCUUUAUUUUCUGAAACAUUGACGGGUGUGGCAACACACCCCUUUAUGUCCUAGUGUCUACUGUUAGGAAACUUCUUGCAAGUACUUUGGUUAGGUACUAGAAAGCAUGCGCGUGCACACACACACACACACAUGCCCACAGCAACAAGCACGCACAUACAACACAACACAGAUGCUCUGCUCCUGAUUUGUCAAUAGUAUGCUGAUGCUUUGCUUUGAUCUGCUCUAACACUAACUUUUUUGUCAAUAGUAAGGGAAGUCGAAGUUUCUGAUUGGUGAUGCUUUUGCUUCAGGAUACUUAAUUUCCUCGCAUUGACCUUUUGUAAGUUAAAAUCUUUUUUUCCAUAUUCCAAAAUUAUGUUGGUGUACACUUAAUCACAUAAUCGUAAGGUCCAAAUUUCAUUUACAGAUUCAAAAGAAGGAUAAUCGAGUUGCAGCUGAAUUCUCCGGUUGGAUCAAGAAGCAAAUACAAUUAGAAAAUUUUACUUAGAAAUAACCGUAGUUUACAUUGAUAGAUGGAAACAAUGUAAUAUCAUGCAGAAGUUGUUUUUUAUUUGUUUGAAUUGUGCAAAUGCUAUGGUGUAAUAUUCUCCAUAGACAUGUUCACUGUAGUCAAAAUAUAUGAAUGAUAUUUUGCGGUACCAGUAAUAUUGGUAUUUGUUUAUUGUAAUGCAUAUGUAUCCUACAUUGUUGUAUAUUCAUAUUAAAUAUCUUGAUAUUUUCAAUUUGUGUAUGUGUCGUGCUUUAAUUUCUCUAUCAUUUUAAUGGUGUCAAGCAUCAAAAUAAAAUAAUUGACUAAUUGAUCAAUUGUAGCUAUUUUAUUAAAUAAAUGUGUAAAAUGGGUACCUAAUUUUGUGGUUAAUAAUUAAAAAUAAAAUAUAUUAAUUAUGUUGUCAUACUAAUAUAAUAGUGUUACUGAUGGUGUUACCGUAGUAACAAAAUGUGUUACUAGGUCAUUGACAAUUAUAAAUUAUAGUGUUAUGGUCCUUGAUAUUGUGUUACAACUUGUGUUACUAUAGGUACAGAAACAUGUUACCACAAUGUUCUACGUAUAUGGAAAAUAUGUUACUUUGAACGUUACAAUAGUUAUGAAAAUGUGUUACCAGGGUCAUUUGGUAACACAUAAUAUGCAUGUUACUACAACAUAAUAGUAACACAAUUUUCAAUAUAUGGUAACACCUAUAAUAUGUGACAGUUAACACCACUUAGUAACACGGUCUAAUGGAACACAUUUUAAAAUGUGUUACUAUAUGACUUAGUAACACAGUUUUGGGUCUGAAGUAACAUAACACUAUGUUACAAAAGCUCUGUCCUGUUGUAGUGCCACCCCCUCGGUAAACACUUCUUCGCUCCAUCGCUCUCCUCCUACAGCAAAGCCCCGAACCCUAGCGCCACCGCUGGAAGUCUCGACGCCGGCGAAGAAGAGCUUCACUGUCUCGACUUUUCCGUCGCCAAAACCACGCCGGAGUCGGACCAUGCUCGUCCGCCGCCGCCGUAGACAUCCUCUGCUGCCGGGUUAGAGUGCAUUGGACACACACCGAAAGAGCUUCUCCCUGCUACUCUUCUCUGUUCAUCGUGCGCGCCAUCUAGGGUAAAUAAAAACCCUAUUUUUACAGCAAGUUUGAUCUACUAUUUUGCCUCUGUGAUGUGAAAUCUGUUUUUCUUCAAGAAUCCAUCCGUUUCUUUUCCUCAAACACUGCCUAUCACCACACUAUUGGUGAACUUCACUAAGCAUCUAAGAUUUUCAUGAGAUUCCUCGGUUGUGCGAAUUUUCGGAUCUGUACAACUCUGGAACCCAAGAACAGUAUGCUUAGGCAAAUUCCUCAUACACUGGUCAAAUUCCUCAACUGUCAAAUUUUUUCAUUUUCUUCAAAUCUGAGAACGCAUAUGACCUCUCCACAUUCCUCGCUACUAUACUCUGUUCACAGGUACACACAUGUCAGCUGAUGAAUAUCUCGGUUCUCAUCAAAUUAACUCAUUUGCAGCGUUUCUUGAAGAAAAUCUUCAAGUCUCAUCAGAAUCCUCAAGAGUUCAAUGUCAUGAGCAAAAUCCUCAGCUAAAGAAAAUGGAGGAUGACAGGAAGCAAAAGGGAGGCAAGAAACUUGAGCAGAAUACAUCCAUAGAUAUCCCUGAGGAUAUAUACUUGGACUACUGCACUCCUGAUGAAAAUGAAACUAUGGCCAAGAGAAAGAUUCGGCUUCAGAAGAUAGAACGCCGAUGGGCUAAGGAGUGGAAGGAGUACAGAUUCGUCACUCCCAAAUAUGCAAAGAAAUUCACUCUGAAGCCUCCUGGCAAACGGUCUCCACUUGAGGAUUAUCAAGAAGCACAUCCCUCAAGCCUCAAGACCCUUAUCCUGAUGAAAAGGAAAAGCACUUGGCAAAGCUCAAGAAGCAGGCAGAGGCUGCUGUGAGGAAAUUCAACGAAUCAUCUGCAACUCCAUCAACUGCAGCUACUUCCUCUGCUGCUGAGACCUCUCGUUCGGCAAUUCCUCCACAAAAGUCUGUGCCAUCAAAACCAAAGGCUUCAAAGCCUCAAGAGAAACCAUCUCCAGCAUCAGCUCCAAAAUCCUCAGCACCACCACAGGCUUCAAAACCUGAACAGAAGCCAAUAGUCAAGCCACUACCAGCUACCUCCAGCUCCUCGCUCCCAGCUGCAACCAGCUCGGGGACAAAAUCUUCACCAACUCCUCUAAAGACUAAGGUGACUGCUGGGAGAGGAACAAGACCCAGCCCAAGCAAAAUCAUCACGGUCCCUUCUGCAUCAGAGGGUAGUGAUGAAUAUGAUGAUGAAACUUUGCAAGCAAUGAUCAGAAACAAGCAAGAGAGGGUAGCUUAAGCUUCUGGCAGCUCCAUUCCUCUGGCCAUGGACCCAAAAGUCCUCCUUGACUACAUCAAUAUCUGGUAUGCGGAGCCCAAUACUCCACUUGAUGAUUUGGAACUUCCUCCUGGCAUCAGCCACAUGAUGGCUACAUUCAUCAACGAGGCCAAGUGGAAGGAGCAACAAGCUAAACAGGCCAAGGUGGCCAAGCUCAAGAAGGAGAAAUUCCUCAAGCAGAAUCUCCUCAACCUGACUCCUCAUGACCUUGUGUCAACACAGGCGGAGUUGAAGACUUUGACAGAUAAGUACUCCAAGCUUGCAUGCNNNNNNNNNNNNNNNNNNNNNNNNNNNNNNNNNNNNNNNNNNNNNNNNNNNNNNNNNNNNNNNNNNNNNNNNNNNNNNNNNNNNNNNNNNNNNNNNNNNNGGGCGGCGGUGAGGGGUGGGACAGGGCGGCGGCGAGGAGGGGGGCUCGGGGCCGGCCUUUAUAGGGGAGAGGUGGGGCGCCGAGGGGAAGGGGAGCGAGAUCCGGCGGGGAUUCGGGCGAGGGGGUCGGUCGGCUGAGAGAGAAGGAAGGGGAGGGCGAGGGGAAAGGAAAGAGAGGGAGGGAGGAAGGGGGUGACCCGCAGGGGGGCUCGGUCGGCCAGGGGGGGCAUCUGGCAAGGAGAGGGAGAGAGGGGCGCUGGGGUCGGUCACCCGAUCCGAAAGGAUCUCGGAUCCGGCUAAGGUAGGAUUCCGCCGAGGCACUUAAAUGCCGCCCGCGGCAGUUUCCUUUAAAAAAAGUUUCUUAUUUUUAGCCUUUUUAAGAAACAGAAACUAAAACUAAUAAAAAGGCAACGAAAAAUAAUAAUUAAUAUAGGGUAUUAUAUACCAAAAAAAUCAGAAAAAUAUCCUCUACUCGAUUAACAUUUUUCCAAAGCAAAAAUAAAAACUUGAGAAAAAAAUAUUUUCACAAAAUUGCCUAAAAGAUUUAUUUUCUUUUGCAAAUAAUUUUCAAAUGACCCUCUAAGUUUUAGGGUUCAACUAACUUUCAAAAGGCCCGUGUGUUUGAGGGUCAUGUUCCUCCUCUCUUUUCUGUUUGACAGAAUGUAUUUCCCGGCAUGUCUUGCACGAAGAAAACAAAUAGAAGUGCAAAGGAAUUCAAAUGCAAAUAUCUCCGUUCAAAUUCUUUAUAGUUGAAGAAGUCAUGUCAUCUUCUCUCUUUGCUUUUAAAUGAUUGAAUUUGAAUUCACCGGAGAAGGCGAAAGUCAUUUUAUUCCCUCUCAUUCAAAAGUUUUGAAAAGUUUCAAAUUUCACACAAGUUUCAAUCACUCAAGCAAACAAACAAACAAUCUAAUAAUUAUUUUAACAUUCCAAAAUUUGGGAUGUUACAAAAGAGUAAUCAACACUACUAGCAACUUUACAAGUACCAAUCGGAGUUGCGAGACGAAGAUUGGUUAGAAGAGAUGAACUAGGGAUUGGAGAGGAGAUGGUGCUGAUGAAGAUGUUGAUGGAGAUGCCUCCCCUCCGACGAGAGGAGUGUUGGUGAUGACGAUGGCGACGAUUCCCCCCUCCGGGAGGGAAGUUUCCCCGGCAGGAUCGUCCCGCCGGAGCUCCAGAUUGGAUCUGCUCAAGUUCCGCCUCGUGGCGGCGGCGAAACCACGAAAAAGCUCCCGAUUGAUUUAUUCCAGACGAGGACACUUCAUAUAGCAAAAGAGGGGGCUAGUGGGCCUUCAGGCAGCCCACAAGCCUGCCCUGCGCCACCAGGGGGUUGUGGCGGNNNNNNNNNNNNNNNNNNNNNNNNNNNNNNNNNNNNNNNNNNNNNNNNNNNNNNNNNNNNNNNNNNNNNNNNNNNNNNNNNNNNNNNNNNNNNNNNNNNNNUGGGGCCCUGGUGGCCCCCCUCCAGUAGUUCUUUCGCUCAGUAUUUUUAAUAUAUUCCAGAAAAAAUCCACGUAAAUUUUUAGGGCAUUUGGAGAUGUGCAGAAUAGUGGACUAGGAUUUGCUCCUUUUCCAGUCCAGAAUUCCAGCUGCCUGAAUUCUCCCUCUUCAAAUAAACCCUGAAAAUAAGAUAGAAAAGUCAUAAAUAUGGUACCACAAGUAAUAUAACAGCCCAAAAAGCAAUAAAUAUCAACAUCAAAGCAUGAUGCAAAAUGGACGUAUCACACAGCUCCAGGAGCGACAUUGCAAUCCAUUCAUACACAUCAAACACUCCGGCAGGACUAGGGGUCUUAUCUCUACGGAGAGCCCUGAACCUGGUUACAUCGUGCGUUCCAUGCUUGUACCAACCUCGUUCCCAGCGCCCUCCUUUGUCCCUUCGGUUCUCACCGACUUUAGCCUACCUAUGGCAUAUGUCGUGAGUAUUCACAAACAGCAUGUCAUUAGGAUCUAAAGGAACACUUCUACUAGCAACCAAAUUCAUUAACUCAUCCAUCUUAACACUCAACGAGUAACUUUCUUCUAUUGCGUGUACCUUCUUACUAGUAGGUGACCUUUCAGUGUGCCAGUGAGAGUAGUUCGUCAUGAUAUUGUCUAGGAGUUUUGUGGCUUCUCCUAACGUGAUUUCCAUGAACGUUCCACCUGAGGCGGAGUCCAAGAUAUUUCUAGAAGCAAAAUUUAAGCCAGCGUAGAAGAUUUGUAUAAUCAUCCAAAGACUCAAGCCAUGCGCGGGACAAUUCAUAAUCAUUAAUUUCAUUCUCUCCCAAGAUUGUGCAACAUGUUCAUGAUCAAGUUGCUUAAAAUUCAUUAUAUCAUUACGGAGAGAGAUAAUCUUAGCCGGCGGAAAAUACUUGGAUAUAUAAGCAUCUUUGCACUUGUUCCAAGAAUCAAUACUAUUUUUGGGCAAAGACGAAAACCAAGUUUUUGUUCGAUCUCGCAACGAGAACGGAGAAAGCUUCAAUUUAAUCACAUCAUUAUCCACAUCUUUCUUCUUUUGCAUAUCGCAAAGCUCAAUGAAGGUAUUAAGAUGGAAUGCGGCAGCUUCACUAGGAAGGCCGGAGAAUUGCUCUUUCAUAACAAGAUUCAGCAAAGCAGCAUUGAUUUCGUAUGAUUCCGCACUAGUGGCGGGAGCAAUCAGAGUACUAAUAAAAUCAUUAUUAUUAGUAUGCGAGAAGUCACGAAGUUUGGUGUUUUCACUCAUGGUGACUUCAGCAAGCAAACAAGCAUAGAAGCGAACAGAAAGCAAGCGAGAGAAAAGGGCGAACGAAAAAGGCAAACGAAAAAAGGCAAAUAUUUUUGUAAAUUUUUGUUUUUCAGAAGUGGGGGAGAGGAAAGCGAGAGGCAAAAGAAGUAAAUGCAAGAGAUGAGUUUGCGACACUUACUUGGAUGAGUUCUUGACUUGAUCCUCCCCGGCAACGGCGCCAGAAAUCCUUUUGUUACGGCACCAGAAAUCCCCGGCAACGGUGCCAGAAAUCCUUCUGCUGCCUCUUGAGCUUGCGUUUGUUUUUCCCUUGAAGAUGAAAGGGUGAUGCAGCACAGGAGCAGCAAGUAUUUCCCUCAGUUUGGGAACCAAGGUAUCAAUCCAGUAGGAGAAUCGCGCCAAGUCCACAGUACCUGCACAAACACAAAAGAGGUUACACCCAACGCUAUAAAGGGGUUGUCAAUCCCUUCAAGAUUGAUUGUAAAGUGAGAUCUAUAGGUGGAAAGUGCAACGAAGUAAAAGAGUAAGAUCUGAAGGCUGGAAAUAUGGUGUGAACUAGACCCGGGGGCCAUAGUGUUCACUAGAGGCUUCUCUCAAAAUAGCAAAUAAUACAGUGGGUGAACAAAUUACUGUCGAGCAAUUGAUAGAACCGCGCAAAGUCAUGACGAUAUCUAAGGCAAUGAUCAUACAUAUAGGCAUCACGUCCGAGACAAGUAGAUCGAUACUUUCUGCAUCUACUACUGUUACUCCACACAUCGACCGCUAUCCAGCAUGCAUCUAGUGUAUUGAGUUCAUAACGAACAGAGUAACGCCUUAAGCAAGAUGACAUGAUGUAGAGGGAUAAAUUCAAACCAAUGAUGAAAACCCCAUCGUUUUACCCUUGAUGGCAACAACACGAUAUGUGCCUCUCUACCCCUUCUGUCACUGGGUGAGGUCACCGCAUGGUAUGAACCCAAAACCAAGCACUUCUCCCAUUGUAAGAAUCAUAGAUCAAGUUGGCCAAACAAAACCCACAACUCGAAGAGAAUUACAAGCAUAUGAAAUCAUGCAUAUAAGAUAUCAGAAGAAGCUCAAAUAAGAUUCAUAGAUAAUCUGAUCACAAAUCCAGAAUUCAUCGGAUCUAGGCAAACACACCGCAAAUAAGAUUACAUCGGAUAGAUCUCCAUGAAGAUCAUGGAGAACUUUGUAUUGAAGAUCCAAGAGAGAGAAGAAGCCAUCUAGAUACUAGCUAUGGACCCGAAGGUCUAUGGUGAACUACUCACGCAUCAUCGGAGAGGUCAUGGUGUUGAUGAAGCCCUCCGUAUCCGAAUCCCCCUCCGACAGGGCACCAGAACGUGCCCCAGAUGGGAUCUUGCGGAAACACAAGCUUGCGGCGGCGGAAAAGUAUUUUCGUGGAUCUCUCUCAUAGUUUUGGAAUUUUUCUGAAUUUAUAGGCGGAAGAGGUAGGGCAGAUGAGCCACAGGGGGCCCACAAGCCUGCUAGGUGCAGACCCCCUUGGCCGCGCAUAGGGGGGUUGUGGGGUCCCCUGGUGGCCCCUGUCUUGGUUCUCAACUCUCGUGCAUAUGUUUUGUUCCAGAAGAAAUAUUUUCGGAAGUUUCUUCCGUUUGGACACCGUUUAAAAUCCUCCUCUGAAAAGGGUCAAAAAACACGGAAAAAAACAAGAACUGGCACUUGGCACUGAGUUAGUAAGUUAGUCCCAAAAAAGAUAUAAAAGGCAUACAAAACAUCCAAAGUUUGACAAGAUAAUAGCAUGGAACCAUCAAAAAUUAUAGAUACGUUGGAGACGUAUCAGGCGCGAUGUUGGCUUGUGCGCCAUAGGUGGCUCCCCUACGGUGGUUCUUCACUCCAAUAUUGCUUAUUUCCUCGAGAGAGAAAAUAUAAAAAAGUUUCGGGCGAUUAUGAGAACAUUCAUUUUCUGCACAAAAACAACACCAAGGUAAUUCUACUAAAAACAACGCUAGUCCAGGUUAGUUGUAGAUAAAAAUAUAAAGUGCAUCAAAAAAUAUCAAAGUAUUUUAAACAUAGGCAAACAUGGCAUGAAUACUUCAUAAAUUAUUGGUACGUUGGAGACGUAUCACUACUUAUGUCGGAUAAGCUUACACCCAUGUUGGAUAAAUGCAUAUUCGUGGGAUAUCCGAGGGAAACCUUGGGAUACAGCUUCAACAACCGAGAAGAGAACAAGUGUUUGUUGCUCGGAACCUGUUUUUCCUACAAAAAGAGUUUUUCAGUCGGGAAGCUACAGGGAGAAUAGUGCGACUCAAAGAAAUUUGAGAGCCACUCGGGGACGACUCGGCUGGUGAUGAGAUUAUAGCCAAGUCGGUCAGGGAACCCCUAUUGGAGUCGGCAUCGAUGCCGAGAACUUUCAUUUUCUGCACAAAAACAACACCAUGGUAAUUGUGUUGAAAGAGCGUCAGUCCGGGUUAGUUCUAAAUAAAUCAUAUAAAGUGCAUCAAAAUCAUAUGAAACUAUUGUAAACAUAGGCAAACAUGACAUGAAUACUUCAUAAAUUAUUGAUACAUUGAAGAAGUCUCAGCUUCCCCAAGCUUAAUUCCUACUCGUCCUCGAGUAGGUAAAUGAUAAAACAAAUAUUUUAUGAAGUGUGGAUGCUAUCAUAGUAUAUAAGUUUGAUUGACGAUAAUUCAAAUCAAUUUUUCUAGCAUCAUAACCACCAACGUUUUCAUAAAUCAUCAUGGUUGAGUAGGAAUCAAUUCACAUGUCAUGGUUCAAACAAUGCAUUCUCUUGGAACUAAACAUCAUAUGUUCUUAGUCAGCAAACAAUUUCAAUGCAUCAUCAAGUCUAAGUAAGAGCUCCAUAUACUCAAUUAUCAUAUAGUCUUGUAUGUUGCUAAUACUCAAAGCAUAUUUUUAGAACAAAUAGCAUCCAUCGAACAUUGAGAAAGAUAGGGGCUUAAUGUUUUGCCUCCCAAUAUAUUUAUCAUAAACAUAAUUGUCAAUAAUAAUGAAUCAUGAUCAAAUAUAUUUGAGUGGGUAUAUUUUUUGGAUCUUUCCGCACCACAUGGUGCUUACCAACUAAUAGACCGAGGUUGGAAUAAUAAGUAGGCUCAACAUGAAAGUAAGUAACAAGAUAGUAAAUAGAUUGUCCCUUCAUCGAGGGAAGCCGAGAAUUGCAUGGGUGCGAGAGAUCAUUGUUUAAAACAGAGAUAAAUAUAUUUUUAGCGGUGGGCCUUUCGUGUCAAUGUCACAACAGAGUUUACAAUGUCAUCCAUGCUAAUAACAUUAUUGGCGGUUCGCAAACAGAAUUGGAAUUUUACUCCCCCUCUACCAUUCAAACACAUUCCAUGGCUAAUCGUAUCCACGGGUGCCCUCCAAACAUUCAACUUUCUAGGGAGAGUUUUUGUUUAUUUAUUUUUGUAUUAUGCAGGACUCGGAAUCCUUUUUACUAUCCUCUCUCGUGCAAUGACAAGUGAAUCAUGUUGACAAUAACUCGCUUAGCAUGGAAGAUAAUGACCGCCCUGCCGCUCCAUGAGCGGUUCGGGUUCACAAAACAAAUGUUUAUUUGAAUGUUUAGAGGUGGCACAUGCAAAUUUACUUGGAAUGGCACUAAAAUACCAUAUAUAGGUAGGUAUGGUGGACUCGCAUGGAAGAAACUUGGUUUUAGGAUUUGGAUGCAGAAGUAAUAUCUCUACUUAGUAUGAAGUUUUGGCUAGCAAAAGAUUCUAAACAAUCAAUACAUGUUGGAGGAUACAAAACAAUGUAACUUCUAUGCAAAUAUACUCGAACAUAAUCAUUACACUGUCUUCCUUGUCCAACUUCAAAUAUUUUAUAAAGUUUGAAAAUAAUUAAUGGGUAUUCACAAUCAUAAAAUAUGUCCAAGAUAAUAUAUUUGUAUGUGAAAGUUCUCUUUCUUAUACUAGUCAUUCAUGAAUUGCUUGUAUGACCAAUACUAUGAUUGUGAAACUCUAAUGGAUUUUAAUUUCUAACCCAAUAAGAAACUACUACUAGGCAUAAAGCACAUUGAUAAUUUUAGAUUUAUUGUAUUCUAUUCAUUCACAAUUUACUCUUAGGUUAUAAGUGUAGCACAAGAGUAAACAUCAAACUACUCUCAAAAGAUAUAAGUGAAGAACAAUGAGUAGUCAAACAAUUAAGUAGCUAUGUGAGGACUCUCUCUGAAUAAAGAUUUCCAGAUCUGAGUAUUUUAUAAAAACACCAAUGAAAACAAAAAUACACUCCAAUAAUAGCACAUAUCAUGUGGACAAAUAAAAAUUUAGGCUUAGCAUUGGCUAACAGAUACUUAUUGACGAAGCGAUGUGGAAUGCCUAGCACCCCCAACAUUAGAUGCUUGAGACGUCUCAAAAUAUUUACUUGGGUUGCCUUGGGCAUCCUCAAUAUUGAUCUUCCGUAUCUCGUUCAAUCCUCUCAUAUCUCGGGUUCACCUAAGUCUCAAAAACUUCAUCUACACAGAACUUGAAAAGAACUCGUGAGAUAGGUUAGUACACAUAAGAAUAAAGCAACACUUCAUGUAUUGUCAAUACAAGUUGAAUAAUAAUUUUGAAACAUUAGGUAUUGUAUACAGUCAUUUCCACAACUUAUAUCUACCAAUAUAAGCCAUGUAAUCUCUAGGAUAAGUAGAUAACAAAACUAUGACAACAAUCUGUCCUAACAGAACAGUUUGUAACAAUCUAUUAAAACAGUGUACUUGUGUAACUCCAUAAAUUAUGUAACUUCAGUAUAUGAUAAAUAAUAUGCUUGAAAUUACUAACUAUAAAUUUCAAAAACUUUCCAACUUCUAGUAAAAUAUGAUAAUUCAAUUACUACCACAAAAGUUUUUGUUUUUGUACAACACACAUCACACCUGCAAUUCAAGUAUUCUAAAGGCAAUUCUUGAAACUUUUUAUUGAAAAACAAGAUUAUAAAUAACUUCUAACAGAGAACAACAAAAUAAAAUGACUCUCCAAGAAAAACACAUAUCAUGGGAUGAAUAAAAAUAUAGGUCCAAGUAAGAUAAAUGGAUAGUGUUGGAGAUGAAAGAGGGGAUGCCUUUCGGGGCAUCGCUAAGCUUAGACGCUUGAGUCUUCCUUGGGUAUUAGCAUGUGGUUGUCGUGGGAAUCCCCAAUAUUAGUGUCUUUCCACUCCUUAUUCUCCUUAUAUAGAUAUCUUACCGAAAACUUGAAAACUUCAAUCACACAAAACUUAACAGAACUUCAUGAGAUGGGUUUGUGUAAUAAAGAUAGAUCAUUCCUCUAGGUACUGUUAAGAAGAGAUUAAUAAUUGUUAUCACAUAAUAGCUACUGUAGUCUAUCUUUCCCAUCAUUUAUAUCACUCAAUAUAAUCAAUGGAAACACGAAAAUGAACAAACUAUGCAUGCAAAACAAAAUCUAUCAAAAAUAGAACAAUAUCUGAAGAUCUGAAUGAACACCAUACUUCCCUAACUCUAACAAUUCUUAAAAAUUAGGAAAGCACAGAUAAUUUGCAUCGAAAUUUUGCACGAGAAUUUAUGAAUUUUUUUAUGCUCCAAUAAAAUCAGAUAAAUUAUGCACUACACAUAGAAGUUUCUGUUUGUUGCAUAGAAUCAAACAAACAAGUAUCCACACUAUCCCAAAGGCUUUACUUGGCACCUUAUUGAAAUAAAGGACACAAAACAUGAUUACUACAGUAGAUUAAUAAUGUGAACACACAAAAAUAGAAAGUAAAAGUGUUGGGUUGUCUCCCAACAAGCGUUUUCUUUAAUGCCUUUUAGCUAGGCAUGAUGAUUUCAAUGAUGCUUGUAUAAAAGGUAGUAAUUGAAACAUGCAAGAGAGCAUCAUGAAUCACAUGGCUAGCACAUUUAAAUCUAACCCACUUCCUAUGCAUAUGGAUUUUGCAAGCAAAUAUUUUUUUUGUAGCAAGAAUCAACUUGCAUAGGAAGGCAAAACAAGCAGGACUUCAAAACUUUGAACACAUAGGGAGGAAACUUGAUAUUAUUGCAAUUACUACAAGCAUAUGUUCCUCCCUCAUAAUAAUUUUCGGUAGCAUCAUGAAGAAAUUCAGCAAUAUAAAUAUCACAUAAAACAUUAUUUUCACGAUGCACACGCAUAUAAUUUUUAUUACUACCCACACAAGCAAAAGUCUUAUCAUUCAUAGUAGUGGGAGCAAACUCAACAAAAUAACUAUCAUGAGAUACUUGAUUGAUAUAAUCCAUGUAAAAACUAAAAUCAUGAUGACAAGUUUCAGGGUUAUCCUUAUUAUUUAUAGUGUAAAUGUCAUCACAAUAAUCAUCAUAGAUAGGAGGAAUGAUAUCAUCAUAUUAAAUUUGCUCAACAAAACUUGGGGAACUGAAAAUAGCAUCUUCAUCAAACAUAGCAUCCCCAAGCUUGUGGCUUUGCAUAUCAUUAGCAUCAUGGAUAUUCAGAGAAUUCAUACCAACCAUAUUUCUAUCUGUUGGAAAUAUGCCCUAGAGGCAAUAAUAAAAUGGUUAUUAUCUUAUUACCUUGUUCAUGAUAAUCGUCUAUUGUUCAUGCUAUAAUUGUAUUAACAGGAAACAGUAAUACAUGUGUGGAUAAAUAGAUCACAAUGUGUCCCUAGCAAGCCUCUAGUUGGCUAGCUCGUUAGUCAAUAGAUGAUCAUGGUUUCCUGAUCAUGGACAUUGGAUGUCAUUGAUAACGGGAUCACAUCAUUGGGAGAAUGAUGUGAUGGACAAGACCCAAUCCUAAGCCUAGCACUAGAUCGUAUUGUUCGUAUGCUAAAGCUUUUCUAAUGUCAAGUAUCUUUUCCUUCGACUGUGAGAUUGUGCAACUCCCGGAUACCGUAGGAGUUCUUUGGGUGUAUCAGACGUCACAACGUAACUGGAUGACUAUAAAGGUGCACUACGGGUACCUCCGAAAGUGUCUGUUGGGUUGGUACGAAUCGAGAUCGGGAUUUGUCACUCCGUGUGACGGAGAGGUAUCUCUGGGCCCACUCGGUAGAACAUCAUCAUGAGGUCAAUGUGACUAAGGAGUUAGUCACACGAUGACGUGCUACGGAACGAGUAAAGAGACUUAUCGGUAACGAGAUUGAACAAGGUAUAGGUAUACCGACGAUCGAAUCUCGGGCAAGUUCAAUACCGACAAACAAAGGGAAUCGUAUACGGGAUUGAUUGAAUCCUUGACAUCGUGGUUCAUCCGAUGAGAUCAUCGUGGAGCAAGUGGGAGCCACCAUGGGUAUCCAGACCCCGCUGAUGGUUAUUGGCCAGAGAGGUGUCUCGGUCAUGUCUGCCUAUCUCCCGAACCCGUAGGGUCUACACACUUAAGGUUCGAUGACGCUAGGGUUAUAGGGAAUUGUUAUACGAGGUUACCGAAAGUUGUUCGGAGUCCCGGAUGAGAUCCCGGACAUCACGAGGAGCUCCGGAAUGGUCCGGAGGUAAAUAUUGAUAUAUAGGACGGAUGGUUUCGGACACCGGAAGUGUUUCGGGCGUCACCGGUAACGUACCGGGACCACCGGGGGUGGCCCCGGGGGACCACCGAAAGGGGGCAACGACCCCGGGAGGUAAGGUGGGCCAAGUGGGGAUGGGAACCAGCCCCUAGGUGGGCUGGUGCGCCUCCCCACUCAGCCCAAUGCUCAGGGGAGAGAAAAGGGGGAGGGAACCCUAAGCCAGGUGGGCCUAAGGCCCACCAGAUGGUGCGCCACCCCCUCCUCCCCCCUCUGGCCGCCGCACCUCCCAUCUGGGGGGGCUGCCGCACCCCCUAGGGUGGGAACCCUAGGGGUGGCACCCCCUCUCCCCUCCCCCUAUAUAUAUCGGGCACUUUUGGCCAUUGAGAGAUAGACUUUUCCUUCUCCCUCGGCGCAGCCCUGCUCUUCUUUCUCCUCCUCUCUGCCGGUGCUUGGCGAAGCCCUGCCGGGAGACCUCGUCUCUCCAUCGACACCACGCCGUCGUGCUGCUGGAGUUUUUCCCCAACCUCUCCCUCCUCCUUGCUGGAUCAAGGUGCGGGAGACAUCACCGGGUUGCACGUGUGUUGAACGCGGAGGUGCCGUAGUUCGGCACUAGAUCGGAAUCGCUGCGAGUAUGACUCCAUCAACUACGUUCUAGCAACGCUUCCGCUUAGCGAUCUUCAAAGGUAUGAAGAUGCUCUUACCCCUCUCUCGUUGCUGGUCUCUCCGUAGUAAGAUCUGAAUAUGCGUAGGAAAAUUUUGAAUUUAUGCUACGUUACCCAACACUAUCAUGUUCAUCAUUCGAGCAUUUCACGUUAAACAUUUUCAUAAAUUCUUCCUUUAGCAAAUUGAGCACAAUUUUUUGAACCAUCAUUUUCACAAAAGACAUUAUAGAUACAAAGCAAAUGAGGGAACCUAAAUUACAUUUUUUGUAGUUUUGUUUUAUAAAACCAAACUAGUGGAAGACAAGAAACUUAAAUAUUUAAUUGCAAGAUCUACAAAUAUACCUUCAAGCACUCACCUCCACGCCAACGGCGCUAGAAAAGAUCUUGAUGUCUACUACACAAAUUUAUUCUUGUAGACUAUGUUGGAACUCCAAGCACAGAGUUUUGUAGGAUAGUAGAAUUUUCCCUCAAGUGGAUGACCUAAGGUGUAUCAAUCUAUGGGAGGUGUAGGAUGAAGAUGGUCUCUCUCAAACAACCCUACAAUCAAAUACAAAAAAACUCUUGUGUCCCCAACACACACAAUACAAUUGCAAAUUGUAUAGGCGCACUAGUUCGGCGAAGAGAUGGUGAUACCAGUGUAGUGUGGAUAGUAGAUAAAUGUUUUUGUAAUCUGAAAAAUAUAAAAACAACAAGAUAGAAAGUGUAAAAUCGCGAGUAAAAUUUUGUAUAAAUGCUUGGUAAUAAGGCCUAGGGUUCAUACAUUCACUAGUGCAAUCUCAACAAUGCAAACAUAGUCGAAUCAUAUGAUCAUCCCUAAGUGUGGGACAAAGAAUCACUCCAAAGUUCCUAUCUAGAAGAGAACAAUAAGAUGAAAUUGGUGUAGGUAGUAGAACCACCUCAAAGUUAUUCUUUUUUAUCAAUCUUUUGACCUAUUCCUGUAAGUGUCACAAACAACAAUAGAGUUCGUACUAGAAUAACACCCAUGAUACAUAUUUAUCAACCCUAAUGUCACGUAGAUACACCAAUGUCACCUCAAGUGUUUGUGGGUAGAUUAUGUGAUAUGCAUGAAAUAAUUUCAGAUCUAUCAAAUUCAAUCCAACAGAGAGAACUUGAAGGAGCUACCCAAGAUUUUUCUCGGCGAACAAGUAUGAAAACGUGUAAUCAACCCCUGUGCAUAGAUCCCCAAGGUCAUUAGAAUCUGCAAGUUGAUUACAUAACAUAUAUCAAGUGAGUCACUUGAAUACCCCAAUGUCACUAUGAGUAUCCGCAUGCAAGACAUACAUCAAGUGUUCUCAAACCAAAAUAUUCAAUCCAACAUAACAAUAUCUUAAAGGGAAAGAUUGAAUUCAUCACAACAAGGUAGCAAGGGAAUAACAUCAUAUGAUCCAACUAGAGGCCUAUGAUACAUCAAGAUUGUGCCAUCUCAAGAACACGAGAUAGAGAGAUUGAACACAUAGCUAUUGUUACGUACCCUCAUCCCCGAGGGUGAACUACUCCCUUCUCGUCAUGGCCUCCGUUGGGAUGAUGAAAAUGGCCACCGGAGAUGAUUUCCCCUCUCCGGCAGGGUACUAGAAAGGCUCCAUAUGGGUUUUUAUUCAAUAUAGAGAGUUGCAGCGACGGAGUGGAAGUUCUCUCUUUAUUUCUGGGGUUUCUAGUGUAUAUAGGAUUUUUUUAGCAUGGGAAUCAUGCCAAUGUCACAUCCCUGAUCCCUAUUAGGGUUUAGAAAGUUGUGCUCAUGUCUUCCUUCUUUGCAUCCAAGAAAAUGAAAUGAAAUCCAAAAGAAAAGCAAAGAAAACCAAAGCAAAACCCUAGCCACCCCUUAUUCCAAAACAAUUCAACUAUUGCCAAAAUCAAUGAAUCCAAAAUGGCCAUUAGAAAAGUUCAUCUUUUCUGAUAAAUGUUGAAAACAAAAUAUCAGUGGUAAAAUAUAUUUUCAAAGUGCUUUUGGCAUUUUAAAUUAAAGGUAAAAGCUACUGAANNNNNNNNNNUUAUUUCGAAGUUUUCAAAAAUGUUGAAACUUUUAUAAAUGUUUGGAAAUAUUUCAAAUGACAUUUCAGCAUGUUUCAAACUAUUUUAGGAAUAGUUUGGAGCCAAAAAUAAAACAAAACAAAGUCAGUAAAUAAAUAACAGAAACAGAAAUGGAAAAAAAUGGAAAGAAACCUUACAUGUCGUUCACCCCUCGCCCAGCCCAGCUAGCCUUGUCGUCGUCCUCGUGCGAGCGAGCAGCAGAAGGUGGCCGCUGCUCCCUCCGGCGCAGCCACGCACGUGUCUGCUUGCCUGGCCGCCGCUUCGUGUUGGCAAGGAGGGGAUAAGCCUCCCGCAGCCGUCCCCGAGCUCCUCCUCGCCUCACUCCUCCCCCAGCGAUCUCCUCUCUCGGCCGCCAUUACAGCCCGAGCUGAGCUCGAGCUCACCGUUGCUCCAGCCCCUCUCCCUCUCACCUGAGCUGCGCAUUAGCUUCGCCUUGGUCCCGUGAAGCUCUCCAACUAGUCGCUCGAUGCCGAGAACCCCUGAGAUGCCGUGACGCCAUCGUCUUCAACCUCGGAUCCUCGGAGCUCGCCGCCGUCGUUCUCCCUCCUCAGACCAUCCCCGAGCCCGCUCUCGUCGCCUCUGCACUCCCUGUGAGCUCAGGGUGCUUUCCCCUUCAUUUCCCCCUUCGAUCCCGAGCUCUAGGCCCCGAUUCCACCGGAGCCCGAGAUCCGCCGCGGGACCUCGUCGCCGGUAGCUCUCCGGUGAUCGGCUGGUCGUUCUGAGGCCACCAAUGGCUUCAGUGCGUCGUGUAGGGGCUUUAGGAGACUAGCCCCGCGCGUGUUGAGCCCCGUAGGAGUGUCCCCGAUGAUGCCCGAGCUCCGGCAGCCGCCGAGCUCGUCGCCGGCGUCAUCUCCGGCCAUUUCAGCCCGUGCUCUUUGCAAAAAUGGAGUUGUGAUCGUGUGGCCGAUCGUCUGGUGCCCUCCGUCGUACUUUUGGUCACCGGAAUCGCAAACCCGAGGCCCUCCGCCGUUCUGGUGGUCGCCGGAGCCUUGCCGCUGAUGGGUUUGACCCCAUCGCCGAUGGGGUUGACUCCCCUGAGUCCCUGGCAAGUGGGGCCAGCCACCUGUUUAAUUAAAGAUUAGUUAAAAUAAAAAUAUAAAUUAUAUUAAAAGUCAAAUAGUCAGUGACAGGUGGGUCCAGCCUGUUAAUUAGCUAAUUAAGUUAAACUUAAACUAAAAACUGGCCACAGUCACUGACCAGUGGGUCCCACUAGUCAGGUUUGACUUUCAACGGCCAGUUGGACCUGCCGAUGCAAUAACUCAUUUUCUGUUUAAAAAUAAUUCCAGAAUAAGUUCANNNNNNNNNNNNNNNNNNNNNNNNNNNNNNNNNNNNNNNNNNNNNNNNNNNNNNNNNNNNNNNNNNNNNNNNNNNNNNNNNNNNNNNNNNNNNNNNNNNNGCCUGAUACUGCUUUGCCUGAUGAUGCUAGAGAUGCUAUUUUGCCUGAUGAUGCUAUGCUUGAUACUGCUAGAGAUGCUAUGCCUGAUACUGCUAGAGAUGCUACGCCUGAUACUGCUUUGCCUGAUGAUGCUAGAGAUGCUAUUUUGCCUGAUGAUGCUAUGCUUGAUACUGCUAGAGAUACUACUUUGCCUGAUGUGCCACUAGGGGUAUUCCUUGAUGCUCAUAUUGCUAGAGUUACUGCCAAUGCUCGUGAUGCUUCUGAAACUGCCGAUACUAUUGAGAUAGAACCUGCUUUUGCUCCUGCUAGAUCUAGCUCUCCUAGAUAUGAAUUGCCUGAUAUACCUGAGGGUUAUGUUAUGGAGGGAGAGAUAGCUGAGGAUUUUCUUGCGUGUAAGGAUGCCUAUGACACUGAGAAAUUACUUCUCAAGUGGAAGGAAAAAUCUCUAAAAGCUAGGAUGAAAUACGACCCGAAGUUUGCCACUUCACCUAUCUUUAGCACCGAUAAGGAUUAUGAAUUCUGUGUCGAUCCUGAGAUAAUCUCUCUAGUCGAAUCUGAUCCUUUCCACGGUUAUGAGUCUGAGACGAUCGUAGCCCAUCUUACCAAACUACACGAUAUAGCUACCCUUUUCACUAGUGAGGAGAAGAUCCGCUAAUAUUAUAUUCUUAAGCUGUUUCCUUUCUCUCUAAAGGAUGACGCUAAAGCCUGGUUCACUUCUCUUGCUCCUGGAUGUGUGAGUAGUCCCCAACAUAUGGUCUAUUACUUCUGUGAGAAAUAUUUCCCUGCCCAUAAGAAGCAAGCUGCCUUGCAGGAAAUAUACAACUUUGCUCAACUCGAAGAAGAGAGUCUUCCACAAGCUUGGGGGAGGCUCAUCCAGCUAUAGAAUGCUUUGCCUGAUCACCCUCUUAAGAAGAACGAGAUACUUGAUAUCUUCUAUAACGGACUUACCGAUGCUUCUAGAGACCACCUAGAUAGUUGCGCCGGUUGUGUUUUUAGGGAACAAACUGUAGAUAAAGCUGAGACCCUAUUGAAUAAUAUCUUGAUCAACGAUAAUGCUUGGACUACUCCUGAACCACCUCCUGAGCCAACUCUGAAGAAAAGAGGUAUUCUAUUCCUCAGUCCCGAAGAUAUGCAAGAAGCCAAGAAAUCUAUGCAACAGAAAGGCAUUAGAGCCGAAGAUGUCAAAAAUCUACCACCUAUUGAAGAGAUCCAUGGUCUCGAUAACCCGAUACAGGUAGUAGAAGUAAAUUCUCUGCGUAGGUUUGAUGAGAGUGAUAUUCCUUUUGAUAAACCUGCUAGCCUAUGCUUUGAUGAAUUUGACAACUUUGUUGCCAAACAACAGAGUUUCAAUGAUUAUGUUAGAAGACAUUUGGAACAAAGUACUCAUAUGCUUAGUCAAUUAAGUGCUUGUGUAGACAAAAAUGUCAAUGAUCUGAAGCUUCUGUGUAAACAUGCCUCUAUUAUUACUACUCAGGUAGAACAAGUACUUAAAGAUCAGAAUGACCUGCUCAAUGAAUUAAAUGACAACUCUGUCAGAGUCAUUAUUAGAGGAGGCAAAAUGACUCAGGAACCUUUGUAUCCUGAAGGUCAUCCUAAGAUAAUUGAUCAAGAUUAUCAAGGAAUUAAUGCUGGUACACCCAGUCAUCCUAAGGAGAAGAAGAAGGAUGAUAGAAACCCACAUGUUAGUUCACCAAAUACUGUCACACCUGAAGAACCAAAUGAUAUUUCUGCGUCUAAUGUAGAAACACAAUCUGGUGAUGAACAUGAACCUGGUGACAAUAUGGACAGCGAUUUUCAUAAUGAUGCUCAACCUAGCAAUGAUAAGGAUGUGGAGAUUGAACCUACAGUUAAACCUGAUAACCCACAACCUCAGAGAUACGAUAAGAAUGACUUCACUGCUAGGAAGAAUGGUAGAGAAAGGGAUCCAUGGGUUCAGAGACCUAUGCCCUUUCCUCCUAAGCCAUCCAAGAAAAAGGAUGAUGAGGAUUUUGAGUGCUUUAUUGAAAUGUUGGGACCCGUCUUUCUGCAGAUGCGGUUAGUUGAUAUGCUCAAAAUGUCUCCAUAUGCCAAGUACAUGAAAGAUAUCGUGACCAAUAAACGGAAGAUACCAGAUCUUGAGAUCUCCACCAUGCUUGCCAAUUACACUUUCAAAGGUGGAACUCCUAAGAAACUUGGUGAUCCUGGAGUGCCCACUAUACCUUCCUCCAUUAAAGGAAACUACGUAAGAACUGCCUUAUGUGACCUUGGAGCCGGAGUUAGUGUUAUGCCUCUCUCUCUUUAUCAUAGACUUGAACUGGAUAAGUUGACACCCACUGAAAUUUCUCUGCAAAUGGGUGACAAAUCAACUGCUUUCCCUGUCGGCAUUUGCGAGGAUGUGCCUGUUGUGGUUGCUAAUACCACUAUCUUAACAGACUUUGUUAUCUUGGAUAUUCCUAAGGAUGAUGCCAUGGCUGUUAUCCUUGGAAGACCCUUUUUAAACACUGCAGGGGCUGUUAUAGAUUGCAACAAAGGCAAUGUCACUUUCCAUGUCAAGGGUAAUGAGCAUACUGUGCACUUUCCGAAGAAACAAUAUCAAGUACAUUGCAUCAAUGCUGUCGAAAAAACUUCAUCGAUUCUUAUUGGGAGGUUUGAAUGCCCUAUUCCUCGUGUCAAGAUGAAGUAUGAUUUGCUUGUUGGGGAGAUUCACAUCCCCAUUGAGGUGACUUAGUGGCUAUUCGAAAAUUCUCCGUUCUCUUUUGCGAUUCGAGAAAGUUUUGUCAUGAGGAUUUGAUCAACCCCAUUAACGGAUUUCUUUCGAUGACCAUGAAAUGGAUGAAUCAAAGAGUCACAUACCUCUGUUUUAAGCCUUCACUUUCUGUUGCUUAGAAGAAAAAUGAUAGAUUUAGUUUAGUUUUCGUUGUUUCCUGUAUUAGCGUCCGGUAGAAAAAUACCCCGAAAAUAAAAGUUCUCCGAUGGUCCUGAAAAUCUAGUAUGAUUUUUUCUGAAAUAUUUGAAAAAUACUGGGACUGAGAGCUGGCCUGGGGGCACACCUGUCACCGCGGCCACCCCCCUGGCCGCGGUAAGCAAGCUUGUGGGGGCCACAGGGACCCCCUCCACUCCUUCGAGCUCCCAUCCUCUUCCUCUACCUCCAGAAAAAAUCAUUUCGCAGCUCAAACCCGUGUUCUUGCUCAUUUGGCUGUGAUUUUUGAUCUCCUUGCUCAAAGCACCAUUCUCCGAACCGUUUUGGGGAAAUUACACCUUGGUAAGUGACUCCUCCAUUGGUCCAAUUAGUUUUUGCUCUAGUGCUUUAUCCUUCGCGUAUUCUUGCUACCUUGGUGACCCUGUUCUUGAGCUUGAAAUGUUGAUUUUAGCUAGUCCCAAGUAGUUUUAAUGCGUGAUAUGGUCUCUAGGCACUAGUAGGAGUAGUUGCUACGAGUUGGGUUAAUCUUUAUUCACUUUUCUUCCGAAGUCUCUAAAAAUUUCAGAAUUUUUCAGAGCGAGAAAAGGAAAAAGAUGAGGAGGUUCUUGAGAGGCUCUUCAAGCCGUAACCCCAAGGAGGUUGAGAAGAACCACCCCAAGUACGUGGUUCGUCGAGUCACAGAAGUUCGAGCGUGCGAGUGACCAAGUGAUGAAUUUUUGCGCGCCGCCGAGCUUUAUGAAGAUUUUUAUUACUUGGUGGAGAACGCAGGUAUUACCGCGUUCGUUGAAGAUAAGUGCUCACAAUACCUCCUCCUCACCAAUAUUUUCGUUCAAAGCUUGAACUUUUAUCCGAGGAAGAAUCCUCCCAUGGUUGAGUUCAUGUUGUACGAUAUCCCCCAGUGCAUGACACUACAGGAUUUUUUGCAAAUUACCUUAUGUUGGGGAUAUUCAUGAUCCUCGUCCACGGGACUUGGAGGAUUUCAUAGGUACUAUUGCCGUUGGAGAGGAGAGAGGAGUGUCUCACGCUAGAAUUUCUAGCAUACAUUUUCCUGUACUUCGGUACUUCUCAUUAUUUGUGGGAAAAUGUUUGAUUGGCCGUGGGGAGGCUGGAUCACUUAGCUCUCCAGACCUUGCGGUUUUGCGCGAAGGCCUUUAUAGCAAUAAGACUUAUAGCCUAGGUGCUAUAGUAUCUCUGCGGUUGAACACAAACCAUUCCAAAGGUGUCGUCUAUGGAGGUAUCUACGCUACUUGUCUUGCUAGACACUUUGAGAUACCUAUUAGACUUCGCGAGGAAGAAUAGAUGCUUCUUCUUGAGAAAUAUCUGGAUUAUGACAGCAUGGUUCGACAUGAUUUUCUGGAUAGACAUGCUAGUAGACGGAUGAUUUAUAAUCUGGUAUUUAGUCAGGGUACUCGAGAGACUAUUACUUUGCCUGCUCCUUCUUUGUUCGAUCUUCAUGCAUGCAGGUACACUAUUAUGCCCUCGGACAUCUAUGCAUAUUGGGGCUUAGCCCAACCAUAGGUGUCCGUGCCCGAGCCGCCAGUCGAGUACCAGACGCCAGUUUAUCAGUGGGAGCCAGAGGAGCUCACACAACAGUGGCAUCCACAGUCCGCUCCGGAGUAUCCCGGAGCUGGUUAUUUCCCAGAUUGGGAGUAGACCAAGCUAGGCCAAAAGCCUAAGCUUGGGGGAGUACGUGUUCUCACCGACCUUGCAUUCAUGCUUAUGCUUUCACUUUGUUCGUCGGUGUUCACACUUUGCCACUGUAUCAUCCAUGCUAGUUUGUUUUCGUUUUCUUAUUUUCUUGUUUUGUGUCCUUCUGAUAAAACCCAAAAAGAUUUUCCUUUCUUCUUUUGCUUGUUGGGAGCUUUCCCAUGUAAAUAGUUUUCCUUUUCUUUGGGUCAAGGUAGAAGAUAUUGGUUAUAAUUGUUUAGUGGCUCUCGCAUGCAUACAUGUUUAGCUUUCAAAGAUCCAUAUUACUUUGUCUUCUCCUUUGUGUUUGCCUGCAGAUUUCAGCUUUGUCCAAUGCACGAGCACUCUUAUUAUUGUUCACAUCGUUCGAUCGUGCAAGUGAAAGGCAAUAAUGAUGAUAUAUGAUGAGUGACUGAGAAUGGAAAAGUUGGUAUGGACUCUAUCUAAUUUUUUUUGUAAAUAUGACUAGCUUGUCGUCCCAGAUUUAGCUUUGUUGUGAGAGAACCAUGUUUGCAAUGACAACUUAGAGAUCAUAGUUUCUGAUGCCAUGCUUAUUUAGCUAGGAGCUUAUAAUGGUUUGUCUUGAAUGCCAACAUAGAUUUUGAGAUGACUAUGAUGUAGUAUGAUAGGAUGGUAUUCUCCUUUGAAUGAUUCAAGUGGCUUGACUUGGCGCAUGUUCAUGCAUGUAGUUGAAACAAAAUCAACAUAGCCUCUAUGAUGUUCAUAUUCAUGGUGAUUUAUAUCCUGUUCAUGCUUGCACUCCAUGUUAGUCAAACUCAUUGCAUCUUGAUGACCAUUGUCGCUCUCUAGUUGGUCGCUUCCCAGUCUUUUGCUAGCCUUCACUUGUACUAAGAGGAAUACUGCUUGUGCAUUCAACUCCAUAAACCCAAAAGUUUUUCCAUGAGAGUCCACCAUACCUACCUAUUUACGGUAUCUACCUGCCAUUCCAAGUAAAUUUGCAUG